UGGGAAUCAGGGUUUCAGCCCUGAUUUCCAGGCCAGCAGGACCCCCGAUGCCACUGCCUAGUGGCCCCUCGGUGGAGUACUGCUGGCGUCAGACUCAUCUGCAGCAGAGAGCAGGGAGGCUCCGUGGACUGGCCCUGAGCACAGCCCGCCAUCCCCAGGGCUUGUCUCCACAGACCAUCAACCAGCAAGACCCCCACCAUCCACAGAAUCAAGCCUGCAAAAGCUUCAUCACCAUCUAAAGCCACACACUGGGUGAGCCUGAAAGAUGGGAGAGAAUUAUUACAGAAGUGUCAGGCACUGUCUGUGUGGCUCAGAAAUUAAACGUUCAUGACCCCGUAUCUGGGAAAUGAUUAAGAAACUUUCCACAGUCUGCCCAAAACAACAUGCCCCGUGGGCCUGGGCCAUUUAUUACGCAGUGAAUAUGGUGUUUGGCCAAGCAAGGAGCAAGGUCUCAAGUGACCAUCAGAGUCCUGGGGCCUCUUGGGUAGCGCUGGCCCAGCAGACUUCCCUGGGCAGGGGCUGCCUGCCCAGCUGCCCAGUGUCCGUACACAGGAGCCUGGUCCAGGGCUCCAGUGCCAUCCUCCAGGGACAGUGGCCUCUUCAUAGCCGGCUCAACAAGGGGAAGGGGACGUUCCUCUGGUCCAAAAGAGGUGAGGCUCUGGAAGAUGAGAGAGGGCCCUGCUGCGCUGCCCGGAGCUGGGGCUGCGAUGUCCCUGGAGCGGCCGUUCUCUACUGCCCUGGACAAAGCUACGGGAGCCGGGGGCUCUGGACAGAGGGCUCGCUCAACCAGGAUGGGCUUCUCCUCUGACGAUCCCCCUCCGGAACACUCCCCUGAGUGACGUGACACCGGAGCGUCUCCAGGUGGACCUCGUGUCCCAGCUGCCCCCUUCUCGUGCCACUGCCGCUGGAGCUCACGCCCGUUGGUCUCCCUCUGGCCAGAGUUGUGGGGAAAGUGCCACCGGCGUCUGGAGCAAUUUCCUAACAAGUCGAGAAGGAAAAAGUCAAACUCCAACACACGUACCUUUGGGGAGGGGGUGUCCGGGCCCUUCAGGGUGGAUGGGAGGCUGUCUGCCAUACUGCUGGCGACAGCGACACAAGAGGGUGACGAACAAAUGGUGGUUUCCAACAGGGCUUUUCCUGGAAGAUGACACUGUGUGGGAAGUGCAGCCUUUGGAAGAGGCCUGGCAGCAGGUGGCCCCGUCCUUUGAGCAAUGGUCCCAUUGUGUGCCAACUGAUUACCACCAGCUGCUAUACGAGGGAAAGUCCGCUGGGGGUUUUCAUCAAGGACUGGGCGCGCUUCACCGAUAUCCAAGAGGGGACGAUGACUUUCUUCAGAAGAGUGAUGUCACGGGCUUUCCCUGACCUCACGCCCGUAGUGGCCAACACUCCCCUCCGCCAACUUUUGUGAGCAGCAUUUCUGCUUCAGUCUGGUGCGGUUCCGAACUUGGCCAUAUAAACCCUACGGAACGAAUCCCUUCUCAAAAAUCAUCUCAUUACACUGAUUCCCCCACGGGAGCUCCUAGCGGGGCCUCUAAACCUCCGGCUCUGUGAUUGCCACUCAUUUCUGCGAACUAAGGAUGUGCUCAUUGCCUCCGAAGUCAGCACCAAAAGGAGGUGGCCUUUGCCUGACCUUCUGUCCCUCGCAGCUCAGAGUGGGAGCAGAUCACGGUGGGAGACAGCGCCACUCAAGCUGGGAAGAGGUCUGUCCAAGUGUGGGGUGAGGUGGACCGUCUGUGGGGUUUUGCCACCCUCUCAGGGGCACACCUGCGAUGGGGGCGGGGCAGUGGCCUCAAGAAGGGCCCGCGUCC
ensembl:lncRNA